AGCGAACGCUGGCGGCAGGCCUAAUACAUGCAAGUCGAACGGUCUCUUCGGAGGCAGUGGCGGACGGGUGAGUAACGCGUGGGAAUAUGCCCUUUGGUACGGAACAACUGAGGGAAACUUCAGCUAAUACCGUAUGUGCCCUUCGGGGGAAAGAUUUAUCGCCAUUGGAGUAGCCCGCGUUGGAUUAGGUAGUUGGUGGGGUAAAGGCCUACCAAGCCUACGAUCCAUAGCUGGUCUGAGAGGAUGAUCAGCCACACUGGGACUGAGACACGGCCCAGACUCCUACGGGAGGCAGCAGUAGGGAAUCUUGCGCAAUGGGCGAAAGCCUGACGCAGCCAUGCCGCGUGAAUGAUGAAGGUCUUAGGAUUGUAAAAUUCUUUCACCG
rnacentral:rRNA from 1 species